UGAAAAUAGUAUUUCCACUAACCAGUCUAUUACUCCCCAUUUUAUAUUAAUGGUUCACGUUGCUAAAAAUAAUUUUAUUUUCUUCGCACUUAGUUGUAGCUAAAUUUAUUGCUAGCCUAUCGGCUAAAGCAAGCAACUUUCGAUCGUGAUUGCUUAUCGCUUUUGGCUGUCUUCUUUUCGUCAUUCGAGGUUUAAGUUAGUGCCGACAAAGAUCUUUUGAUUCUCUGCGAUCGGAUUGGCUUGGAAGAAACCUACCUUGUCUAUCUCACCCUUCCUUCAGCUAAGUGACGAUGACGUCGAGUUGACGGCAGAGAAAGACUCGAUAUUCAGGCGAGCCACCUGGGGGUGUUGUGCGUAGUAGGUUUAGUAUACCCAGCCCAAACAAACAGCUUCGAAACAAAUAAUAAGG